rnacentral:rRNA from 1 species
CUUGCUCCUCUGAUCAGUGGCGAACGGGUGAGUAACACGUGAGCAACCUGCCCCAGACUCUGGGAUAACAGUUGGAAACAGCUGCUAAUACCGGAUACGAGACGGAGAGGCAUCUCUACCGUCUGGAAAGUUUUUCGGUCUGGGAUGGACUCGCGGCCUAUCAGCUAGUUGGUGAGGUAAUGGCUCACCAAGGCGACGACGGGUAGCCGGCCUGAGAGGGCGACCGGCCACACUGGGACUGAGACACGGCCCAGACUCCUACGGGAGGCAGCAGUGGGGAAUAUUGCACAAUGGGCGAAAGCCUGAUGCAGCGACGCCGCGUGAGGGAUGACGGCCUUCGGGUUGUAAACCUCUUUCAGCAGGGAAGAAGCGAAAGUGACGGUACCUGCAGAAGAAGCACCGGCUAACUACGUGCCAGCAGCCGCGGUAAUACGUAGGGUGCGAGCGUUGUCCGGAAUUAUUGGGCGUAAAGAGCUUGUAGGCGGUUUGUCGCGUCUGCAGUGAAAAUCCGAGGCUCAACCUCGGACUUGCUGUGGGUAC